rnacentral:rRNA from 1 species
GAUGAACGCUGGCGGCGUGCCUAAUACAUGCAAGUAGAACGCUGAAGGAGGAGCUUGCUCUUCUGGAUGAGUUGCGAACGGGUGAGUAACGCGUAGGUAACCUGCCUGGUAGCGGGGGAUAACUAUUGGAAACGAUAGCUAAUACCGCAUGACAACAGUUAUUGCAUGAUAACUGUUUAAAAGGGGCAACUGCUCCACUACCAGAUGGACCUGCGUUGUAUUAGCUAGUUGGUGAGGUAACGGCUCACCAAGGCGACGAUACAUAGCCGACCUGAGAGGGUGAUCGGCCACACUGAGACUGAGACACGGCCCAGACUCCUACGGGAGGCAGCAGUAGGGAAUCUUCGGCAAUGGACGGAAGUCUGACCGAGCAACGCCGCGUGAGUGAAGAAGGUUUUCGGAUCGUAAAGCUCUGUUGUAAGAGAAGAACGAAUGUGAGAGUGGAAAGUUCACACUGUGACGGUAUCUUACCAGAAAGGGACGGCUAACUACGUG